rnacentral:rRNA from 1 species
UACAGAGGGUGCGAGCGUUGUUCGGAAUUACUGGGCGUAAAGCGCGCGCAGGCGGCCUUUUAAGUCUGCUGGUGAAAUGCCGGGGCUCAACCCCGUGCCCGCCACAGAUACUGGGAGGCUGGAGACGAGUAGAGGCAAGCGGAAUUCCGGGUGUAGCGGUGGAAUGCGUAGAGAUCCGGAGGAACACCAGUGGCGAAGGCGGCCUGCUGGGACAGUGCUGACGCUGAGGCGCGACAGCGUGGGGAGCAAACAGG